AUGACGGCAAAUUAUAGGAAUGCAAAUUAUCCAGCAAUUCUACCAAUUCUAAAAGUAGACAACUAUGAGAAUUCGUGUAAACAGAUGAAAGUCUUAUUCAGGUGUCAAGGUCUUUGGGACCUUGUAAAAGAUGGAGUCGAAGUGCUUGAAGACAACGCUUCAGAAGAAGAAAACAAGAAACACAUAGAAAUUGAGAAGCUGAGUUAUAAAGCGCUCUUUAUAAUUCAUCAAUGUCUGAGUCCAUAA